CACAUUCUCUAAAAGUGAGAAAGAAAAAAAAAAGAAAAAGAAGAGAGAAGGGC
rnacentral:ribozyme from 11 species